CGGAGGGUGCAAGCGUUAUCCGGAUUCACUGGGUUAAAGGGUGCGUAGGUGGGGUGGUAAGUCAGUGGUGAAAUCUCCGAGCUUAACUUGGAAACUGCCAUUGAUACUAUCAUUCUUGAAUAUUGUGGAGGUCAGCGGAAUAUGUCAUGUAGCGGUGAAAUGCUUAGAUAUGACAUAGAACACCAAUUGCGAAGGCAGCUGGCUACACAUAUAUUGACACUGAGGCACGAAAGCGUGGGGAUCAAACAGGAUUAGAUACCCUGGUAGUCCACGCCCUAAACUAUGGAUACUCGACAUACGCGAUACACUGUGUGUGUCUGAGCGAAAGCAUUAAGUAUCCCACCUGGGAAGUACGAUCGCAAGAUUG
rnacentral:rRNA from 1 species